AAUCUGGCUCAGGAUGAACGCUAGCUACAGGCUUAACACAUGCAAGUCGAGGGGCAGCAUGGACCCAGCUUUGCUGGGUUUGAUGGCGACCGGCGCACGGGUGAGUAACGCGUAUCCAACCUGCCCUUUACUCCGGGAUAGUCUCCUGAAAGGGAGUUUAAUACCGGAUGUGUUUGUCUUUCCGCAUGGGAGCGACAAAUAAAGAUUAAUUGGUAAAGGAUGGGGAUGCGUCCCAUUAGCUUGUUGGCGGGGUAACGG
rnacentral:rRNA from 1 species